rnacentral:rRNA from 1 species
AUGCCCCGCCGCAUCCCGCUGCCGAUGCCCCGCCGCAUAUGCAUCUGGCUCCGCUGCUCCUCCCCAUCCUCAUCCUGCACCUAUCCCGACUCCGGUCUCCGCCACCCGUCCUGCCUUACCUCUACGUUGUCCGGCCUCCGCCUCCGCCGCUCCUUCACCACUCCGAUGUCGAACCUCCGCCUCUUCCGCCGCAGCUCCUCCUCCACCUCCACCCCCACCUCGCGGUCCUCACGUUCAUGGUCUCCCCACGCAGCCUUUGCCGCGGCCACAGAGCGUGUCCGCGCCGGGACGAUGAACCAAGACUACGCACACAACCUGUUCGACGAAUUGCUGCGGCAGGCCACCCCGGUCCCCGGGCGCUCCCUGAAUGGCUUCCUCGCCGCCCUCGCACGUGCUACGUCCUCUGCCGCCUGCAUCAGAAAUGGUCCCGCCCUCACCGUCGCCCUCUUCAACCGCGUGUGCCGAGAACAAGCCGGCCUGCGGGUGGCGCCUCUCACAGUCCACACGUACAACAUCCUCAUGGACUGCUGCUGCCGCGCAUCUCGCCCGGACCUAGGUCUUGCCUUAUUCGGCCGCUUUCUCAGGACGGGCCUCAAGACAAACGAGAUCGUCGCCAGCACCCUCCUCAAGUGCCUCUGCUACGCAAAACGGACGGAUGAGGCUCUGAACGUGCUGCUUCAUAGGAUGUCCGAGCUCGGCUGUUGCCUAAUGCCAUCUCAUACAACAUUGUUCUGA